UCUUCUUCUUCACCCACAACAAACUUCACUCUCUCUCCAUUAAAUUUGUCUCUUCGAUCGCAAUUCUUUUUCGUGCUUCGAGCUUGUUCAGAUCCGAGGUGGCAAAGACCGAGAGCUCCAUUCUUUUGCCGAUCGAUUGAGAUAGUUCAUGGCUGACAUGGGGAAAAACGUGCUCGAUAUUCAGCAAAUACUUCUGGACGCAUAAGAUCGGUGGUUACGCCCAGCUGAAAUUUAUGAAAUUCUUAAAAAUCACAAACAGUUUGAAAUUCCACCAGAGCCUCCACAUAUACCUCCAAAUGAGAUGGGCUUUGUACGGUAGACUCUCUCAAUGCAUGCCUCACGUGGUCAUACUUUUUGUAUGCAGGUGGUUCUCUAUUUCUUUAUGAUCGGAAGACACUCAGAUCCAUCAGAAAGGAUGGGUUUGAGUGGAGGAAGAGAAGAGAUGGGAAGACAGUGAUGGAAGCUCAUGAGAGACUCCAGGUGGGAAAUGUUGACGUGUUGCAUUGCUAUUAUGCACAUGGAGAACAUAAUGAAAAUUUUCAGCGACGCACCUAUUGGAUGCUUGGAGAGUGAGUUUUCUGUAAGAUCUUAAUAGAUAAUCUUCAAAGAAUAAGGUUAUUGGGAUAAAAAGGCUAUUCAUUAUGGAUAUUUAUCUUCUGUGCGUGUGUUUGGUGGGGGGAUGUGGUUUUGUAUAUGUAUAUGUAUAUGUAGAUAGAUAAGGCACAUAGUUGACAGCUAAAAAAAAUUUGCUUUUAAGUAUGUUAGAGUAAUUACAUAUUAAACAACGCUUUCAUAUAAAAGCUUAAAUU